AUUGAACGCUGGCGGCAGGCCUAACACAUGCAAGUCGAGCGGAUGAAGGGAGCUUGCUCCUGGAUUCAGCGGCGGACGGGUGAGUAAUGCCUAGGAAUCUGCCUGGUAGUGGGGGAUAACGUCCGGAAACGGGCGCUAAUACCGCAUACGUCCUGAGGGGGAAAGUGGGGGAUCUUCGGACCUCACGCUAUCAGAUGAGCCUAGGUCGGAUUAGCUAGUUGGUGGGGUAAAGGCCUACCAAGGCGACGAUCCGUAACUGGUCUGAGAGGAUGAUCAGUCACACUAGAACUGAGACACGGUCCAGACUCCUACGGGAGGCAGCAGUGGGGAAUAUUGGACAAUGGGCGAAAGCCUGAUCCAGCCAUGCCGCGUGUGUGAAGAAGGUCUUCGGAUUGUAAAGCACUUUAAGUUGGGAGGAAGGGCAGUAAGUUAAUACCUUGCUGUUUUGACGUUACCAACAGAAUAAGCACCGGCUAACUUCGUG
rnacentral:rRNA from 1 species